rnacentral:lncRNA from 1 species
GGGAGAAUAGAGUGGUUGUGAAUGGAGGCAAGUAGUGAGGAUGCAGUGAUGGAGGAUAUGGAGACAAGGUUGGAGAAACAACAGCUGGACGGAAUCAUGGUGGAAGCAGAAGUGAUAGUUGAUUCUGAUGGAGCAUUGAGCAACUUUGGACCUGAGCCCUAGGACCAUGCCUCAGGACUACCUGGUAUGAUGACUCCUUGCUGUCCCCAGUCCACCUGGCCGUGCUGCUGCUCCAGUUUCAACUGUUCUGCCUGCGGCUAUGGAACCCUGACCUGUUCACCGGACGUGCUUGUUGCACCCUCGACAACUACUAUGAUUAUUAUUAUUUGACCAUGUUGGUCAUUUAUGAACAUUUUAACAUUUUAACAUCUUGACCAUGUUCUGUUAUAAUAUCCACCCUGCACAGCCAGAAGAGGACUGGCCACCCCUCAUAGCCUGGUUCCUCUCUAGGUUUCUUCCUAGGUUUUUGGCCUUUCUAGGGAGUUUUUCCUAGGGAGUUUUUCCUAGCCACCGUGCUUCUUUCACAUGCUUUGCUUGCUGUUUGGGGUUUUAGGCUGGGUUUCUGUACAGCACUUUGAGAAUAUCAGCUGAUGUACGAAGGGCUAUAUAAAUACAUUUGAUUUGAUUUGAUUUUGAUCCAGGAUCUCCGUAUCAGGCGGUGUGAAGGCCCGUAAAAUUAUUAAAAGACUCUUAAGACUCA